rnacentral:lncRNA from 1 species
UGAUCCUUCUUUCUUAAGAUUUAAGACCUAAUAGUAUUCAGCCUUGCUAGGGUUUUGAAAUCUCCAUCUCUGUAUGCAGCCGCCCACCCCUUUCCUCUCUUAGACAAACUUCCAACUCGCUUUCACUAUGAAAUCAGAAUGGUUUCGCCAUUUUCAUCAAAGUCUUCAUUCUCUCUCUCUCUUACAUAUUAAAUGAAAAGCCAAAAAUUUUUGUAUCGAAGUUGACCAAAUCGUUGUAUCUCUGCAGCAAGAGGACGAUUUGGUUGAUCUUUUUCCUGUCACAUUUUGGUCGGAUUUUGAACGUGCAUUUUGAAUUUCAAACAAGUCUUUCAAUUUUCGCUUCCAAAACCCUAGUUUUCUCCAAUAAAUACUCCUUAACUCUCCAGCCGAAAGCAUCUGGGACGGGGGGGAUCCUCUAAAAUAUAGUUUGAACACUGCCAAACCGAGUCAACAAGCAACUUUUUUUUCCUUUUCCGCAAUCUCAGUUUCUAUCUAGUUCGCUAACACUAAGUUUCAAUCUUGUUAUGUGGAGGGAGUAGAUCUAAAGCCUCACAAGCUUCAGUUCCUGCUCCAUAAAAGGUUAGAUCUUAACCUAAAUUUUAUUAUGUUUUAUGUUGUGCAUAUAUGUCGUAGCUUUUAUAAUAGAAGUAGAAUAUCUAAGUUUCUUUUUAUUUCAUUUAAUUUCUUCUUCAUAUGUAAAGAUCCUGAAUAUGGGAAUUGAUUUUGGAUUUCAUUAAAACAUUGUAGGUGCCCUGCUUUGUUGACUUAGAGUUUCCCUUUUCAUAUGCUAAAAUUCAUUUUACUUGGAGUCACAUUUCUUCUAAAGGAUUACAUUGAAAUAAAAAAUCUUGAAUAUAUGACAUGUUAAGCAUUUUUUUUUUGAGCUUGAAGUUAGAAGCCUGACCAGGAAAAUUGUUUCUUUUAUGUUCUAUUGUAAAUCCGUGUAUAAUCCGUGAUAGAAUCAGUAGUAAAAAGGAGAAAUCAUGUUCUUAGACUAAAUAUGAGCGUGAAAAUUAGUCCAAAAGACCAUGCUUUCAUGUUUAUCAGUAGGCUUUGCAUUUCGUUUACCUUAGAAAACAUGACUAGAAUCUAUAAAUGAAUGAUUUCAUAUCUUUAAAGUUUGUUAAGAAUCACGGUUAAUUUAAUAUUUUAGAUAUUGUUCUUAUAGAAUUUAAGUGUCUCAUUGAAAAGAAUUUGGUUAACAAAAUCUUAUUUAUCACUAUGUAGUUUAUCACUACAGACCUUGUUCAAUAGGAUUUCUUCUUAACUGAAAAUUGAUUUUAAGGGAGCAUGAUGCAAGUUUAUGUGCUCGUUAAGGGUACUAAUUUUAAGGAUGACAUUGUCCAACUCACAUAAAUCAUGCCUAUAAUUGAUCUUAUUUUGUUAAAAUUAUCAUUGUGUUAGUGAAUAGGUCAUUGGGUUAAGAGCAUAGUAAGAAUUUUCGUUAAGUAUGUAAUUGUUGUCCAUGAUAAUUUGGUACAUUCAUAUCUAUUGAUUUAGUGUUAAUAUUUUACUAGAAACCAUAUUUAAUGUGUCACUGACUUUACAUAAUCUGCCGCUUGGUCCAAAUAGAUAUUGUCUUAGUCUGUAAAUCCGUCCGAACAAUGUAUUUAGGAUGUGUGUUUGUUCUAGCUUCAUUACUCGUUAAGAAGUUGGGCUAAUGAUCUAAGAGCAGAAACCAUGACUUAGAUCCUUUGGAAUUUGACAGUCAUAUUAUGAGAAAUUUUGUUGCCAAUAUGUUUACUGUAAGCCUUCAGUAUGUUAAAGCCUAUUCAUUAUUUGGAAAAUCUCUUAAUAGAUGAUAGUAUCUUUGUUACUCUAAAUGAUUAUCUAUGCUUGCUUCACGUGGCUUAUUUGCUUCUUUAAAGUAUAGAAGUAUACCUUAUGACUUCUUUAUAAAAAAUAUGAAAAUAGUAGAUAUUUAACUUUAAGUAUAUAAUUACUGCUUAAGAAUCUAUUUAUAUCAAUAAGUGAUGGGCUUCUUACAUUCUGGUUGGACAUUUAGAAACAUCUGCUUAUAUUCAUAAAUCAUGUGACUUCUUGCUUUGUUUAUUCUCUGUGUUCAUAAAAUAUAAGAAUUGGGUUUCCAUUCUUUCUAACUUCCUAUUUUCUUUUCUUCUCUAUUUGCAUGUACACUUUGGAGCAAUUUUGAGUCUUAAUAUGAGACUCGUUGCAGCCAUGAAGUCACCAACGCUGCCAUUACUAUGUUUUCUCUUUCGUAUACCUAAUUAUUCGUGCUGGAUAGAGACAAGAAAAUACCAAAGUUAAAUCUUGGCCUCCUUAGAAAGGGGAAGGAUUAGCACUGUUAUUCUUGCUUCCAUUUCUAUUAACUUUUUAUUAUUGCAUAUAUUUUAUUUACUAUUACUCCUAAUUAGUUCUUGCAUGAACAUGUAAAGGUAAUGGAUAUAGUUAAACAUUGAACUAGUAAUUCUACUAACACCUAACUGUCUAGCAAUGCUUGUGAAAUCAGUUAAAAUUGAAUAAUGAUUAAGUCAAUAUGGGUUGGUCUUAAUUUUAUUCCCAUUAGAAUUUUUUUUUUCCGUACCAAGUAUCCUUUAAAUCAAUAUAAUGCUUUGCCUAUCUAUUAGAUUUUUCAAACGAACAAGAAGAAAAUACUUUCGCUUUCUAAACGUUCUUAGUUUCAAGUUUCACCCUUUCUGAAAAUGACGUUUUUUUUUAAAGCCUCUACCCAUUUGGUUCAGUGUCCUUUUGGAGUUAGAAAUCUUUUAAACCAAAUUUUGAGUUGUCAAAUGACGCAAUAUUUUGGUAAAAUAUUUUAACUCUUAUAGUCUAACAUACUAAGUUCGUAUGGUAACCCUGUCGUAUGAGACCUUGAGGGGUGCCUCACACCUUCCCAACCCUUACCUUAGAAUCUCUCAUAUUUAAUAGACUUUAACGAAGUUUAACUUUGCGUUACUUAGUUAAAAUAGGUGUCCUAAUUCACCUUUAAAAUAAUUAGGUGGCGACUCUUUUGUUUGUAAUUAAUUUAGGAAUCACCAAUUCAUUGUACUCUAUUUGGCAUGUGUUAAAAUGGGGUAUAACGGUAUAAGAAUCAUAGCUUUGUCAAUUGAAAUUAUUUUCUUUUGCAUUGUUCUAUGUAUUCAAGUCGUUUUUGACUAGAUUGAGCCAAUCUUCAAUUAAUCUGUAAAGGAAAAGCUAAAUUGAGUAUUGAAUUGGCUAGAUUGAGUUAGUAUCUUGCCUAACCUUGUGUGAGAGACUCCCCCUUAGGAUUUGAGUCUUCUAUGCUAAUUGUAGUACGUGCACAGAGGUGACGAUCGUAUGCUCAGGCUUAUUUGUGGAGAUUUACCUUUAGGGUUCUUAGGUCCUUAUGUUCAUUAAGUGGGAAGUCUUCCAAUAUGAUUGGGUCUCCUAAUUGCUUUGCUUAAUUGAAGUGAUUGUCCUUUUUAUUAUUUUUUUAUUUCUUAAUUGUGGAUUCGUCUAUGACCCCGUGCUUACAUGCUAUGUGUUCCAAUUGUUGUGGUUGUCGGUGUAGUAUUCACAUGUCAUAUAUGCCUUGUUGUUUUGUAUAGGUUGUUGUGCUUUUUGGUUUUUCCAUAAUUCUCUUAUUGUCGUGUACUCAUACUCUUGGUGGUAGUGAUCCUUGUGAUUGGGUUGUUGAAUUAUUGUUGUUGUUGUUGUUGAUGAUUUUAAACUAUGUCUUCUUGUUGAUAUGUUGAGGAGGAAUAUGGGACAAUUGAUAUUGUCUACUGGGAUCGGGUUGCACGCCGCAACAAGGAGUAAUAAGUUUGGACAAGUAGGAACGAGUUGCACGCCGUAACAGGAGGAAUAAGAGUGAUAUAUAUAUUUAGGAGUAAUAAAGGUGGGCUGGUUGGAUCGGGUUGCACGCUGCAGCAAGGAGUAAUAAAGGUAGAUGAUCAUAUUGUUAUUGAUAUGGUGAUAUAUAUAUACUAUUUACUCUUAUUGUAAUUGUUAAGGAGGAAUAUGAGAGAAUUGGUGGGAUCAGAUUGUACGCUGCAACAAAUAUAUAUACUAUUUACUUUUAUUGUAAUUGUUACGAAGGAAUAAGGGAGGAUUGGUGGGUUGAGAAGUGCGCU